GAUGAACGCUAGCGGCAGGCUUAAUACAUGCAAGUCGAGGGACAGCACAGGUAGCAAUACUGGGUGGUAACCGGCAAACGGGUGCGGAACACGUACACAACCUUCCUUUAAGUGGGGGAUAGCCCAGAGGAAUUUGGAUUAAUACCCCGUAAUAUAGUUGAAUGGCAUCAUUUGAUUAUUAUAGCUACGGCGCUUAAUGAUGGGUGUGCGGCUGAUUAGAUAGUUGGCGGGGUAACGGCCCACCAAGUCUACGAUCAGUAGCUGAUGUGAGAGCAUGAUCAGCCACACGGGCACUGAGACACGAGCCCGACUCCUACGGGAGGCAGCAGUAAGGAAUAUUGGUCAAUGAACGCAAGUCUGAACCAGCCAUGCCGCGUGAAGGAUUAAGGUCCUCUGGAUUGUAAACUUCUUUUAUUUGGGACGAAAAAGGGCCUUUCUAGGUCAACUGACGGUACCAGAUGAAUAAGCACCGGCUAACUCCGUGCCAGCCGCCGCCGUAACAC
rnacentral:rRNA from 1 species